CCUACGGGAGGCAGCAGUCGGGAAUUUUGGGCAAUGGGCGAAAGCCUGACCCAGCAACGCCGCGUGAAGGAUGAAGCUUUUCGGAGUGUAAACUUCAUAAGAAUGGGACGAAUAAGUGGGGGAUAAUACCCCCCAUGAUGACGGUACCAUUUGUAAGCUCCGGCUAACUCCGUGCCAGCAGCCGCGGUAAUACGGGGGGAGCAAGCGUUGUUCGGAUUUACUGGGCGUAAAGGGCGCGUAGGCGGCGCAACAAGUCACUUGUGAAAUCUCCGGGCUUAACCCGGAGCGGCCAAGUGAUACUGUCGUGCUAGAGUGCGGAAGGGGCUACUGGAAUUCUCGGUGUAGCGGUGAAAUGCGUAGAUAUCGAGAGGAACACCUGCGGCGAAGGCGGGUAGCUGGGCCGACACUGACGCUGAGGCGCGAAAGCCAGGGGAGCGAACGGGAUUAGAUACCCCGGUAGUCCUGGCCUUAAACGAUGGAUACUUGGUGUCCGGGGUUACAUAGUCCCCGGGUGCCGGCGCUAACGCAUUAAGUAUCCCGCCUGGGGAGUACGGUCGCAAGACCGAAACUCAAAGGAAUUGACGGGGACCCGCACAAGCGGUGGAGCAUGUGGUUUAAUUCGACGCAACGCGAAGAACCUUACCUGGGCUAGAAUGCCUCUGACAACCCUGGAGACAGGGCCUUCUGGGUAAAACCAGACAGAGUGCAAGGUGCUGCAUGGCUGUCGUCAGCUCGUGUCGUGAGAUGUUGGGUUAAGUCCCGCAACGAGCGCAACCCUUGUCAGUAGUUGCCAGCGGUUAGGCCGGGCACUCUACUGAGACUGCCGUUGAUAAAACGGAGGAGGUGGGGAUGACGUCAGUCCUCAUGGCCUUUAUGUCCAGGCUACACACGUGCUACAUGGCAAGUACAAACCGUCGCAAACUCGCAAGAGGGAGCCAAUCGGAAAAAAGCCUGUCUCAGUUCGGAUGGAGUCUGCAACUCGA
rnacentral:rRNA from 1 species